CCGAUCACAAAGCCUUGGUUUCUCUGUCUUUGUUGGAGACUUUCAAGCGUUCUUCGAUCCACGUCUUUCCAAAUUCCCCCUUUUUUUUAUUCCUUAAUAAAAGCUGAAGCUUUUAAUCACAAGCUCUCACCUUUUCUCAGAUGAGGCCUCUUUGGAUCCAAUCUUCUCCGUUCCAGAUUCGUAAUUUCCAGACCCACCACGUUUCCUUUAUAGAGGUCUCUAAUGGCGGCCGUUUCCGGACACUUGAUUGUUUCCAAGGUUCCUACAUGUUCCACAUUAGUCGCUCACUCGCAAAAACAAGCGAUAUUUGGUUCCGAGGUGAAGUUGAGAUAAACUGAGGAAACCCAGCUGAGAUUUUUAGCCCUUUUCAGUUUCUGGUGAUUGCUUGUGCAGACUCUAGGGUCUGUCCUUCCAUUAUUCUAGGAUUUCAGCCGGGAGAGGCCUUCACAGUUAGGAAUAUUGCGAAUUUAGUACCUGCGUAUGAGUCUGAGCCUUCAGAAACAAAAGCUGCUCUCG